GUCAUCAUCUAGAAAAAUAAAAACCAAGAUUUCGACACGUAUAUCAAAUUUUAUUACUUGGCUAUCUGCGUCAAAUACGACGGAAUAAUACGAAUAAUCCGCGUUAAAUAAGUCGUAAUUUUGCCCUAAUUUUCAUUCCACCGCCCAAAUGUCCUCCUAAAUACCCCACCCGCUCGCAGGAAGUUCUCUUGAGAUGAGGUGAGCGAUUUCGUUCUCAAUUAGGGUUUCAUGUCGAAGACUGAUGAGGAAACUGAUGAUUUGACGGCAGGCUGGCACAUUAUCUUUUUGCCAUUUUCCUCCCUGUUUUUCUGGGGGGAUAAUUGAAGUCGAACCUUUGAAAUCAGGCUUUACAAUAGUUAUGUUUUCAAAGGCAAGCCCAGACUCUUUGUCGAGAAAAAUCAGUUCUUUUAGGCCAGAGGAGAAGUUCAACACGAUAGCUUUUAUUCAAAUUGGUGGAGAUGUAUGUUGUUCUCCAGGAUCUGCACUUCUCUCCAUCUUCAGGUAUCGUUCUUUUGACCAACUUAUAGUGAGCCUUCAAUUGCUCUUAUGAAUUGUCGUUUCACUUCAUUCUGUCCGAAUUGCAGUGUUCCCUAUACACACAAAGAUUUUCAGCAGAAAAUCUUUCCAAGACCAGGAUGCUAGAGAACAAGCAAUUAGGGUUUUGCAGUUUUGUUCUUAUCAGAAAUUAGGGCCUGUAGUUAUUAGAAACUAGGGCAUGCAAUUUCAUCUCUAGCUAGGUUUGCCUCACGUCAUUCUGUGCAAGUUGUAUAGGGACUUUUUUUAGCAGAUAAUCUUUCCAGGACAAAAGAGGCGAUUAUGGCUUUCAGCAUCAGCGUGGAAACAAAUAAUGGUUCUCAAAUAAAAGAUAUAUGCUAAAGAACGUAGAAGGUAAAGUUAAAUCUUAGGUCAAAAUACCAGGUGAACAACCAUUUUCUAUUACUCAUUAGGUUCUAAAUCACCUUCAGAAUGCAUAUGCAUACAUCUGCCUUAUUUAUUUUUCUCAAUGUCGUACAAGUAAUUUUCUUUGGCAUUCAUGUUAAGUUGUCUGCAAAUUUUUAUCAUUGUCAGGGAUUGAGCACAAUUUUUCAUUCCAUUUUCUUAUCAUUUUGAGUUCUGUCUGUGAUUAUGUAUUGAUAUUUUGAGAUAGACAUUAUUUUAGGAAAUACUAAGUAAUAGUGGUAGUGUUAUUCUCUUUUUAGUUAGUCGCAUUUUAAUAAAUGGUUUUUUAUAUUAAUCCCUUACAUCUUUCAUAUUUUGAAUUAAUCCCUCAAAUCAUAGAAAUUGCUAUUAGGUCCCUCAAUUCUUUAGUAAUUUUGAAAUUAGUCUCUCAAACCAUUGACAUUAGUCUCUUUUUAGAAGUAGUCUCUUUUCAGUUUUUUAAAAUUAGCCUCUCAAACUUUUAGUCCCUUAAAAUCUUUUAAGUUUUUUAAAAUUAGUCUCUCAAACUAUUAGUCCCGUAAAUCUUUCAUAUUGAAAUUAGUCUUCUUUUAGUUUUUUAAUAGAGGGUUUUUCCGAUAUUAAUCCCUCAAAUCUUUUGUAUUUUGAAAUUAAUCUCUCCAAUUGCUAUUAUUAAAAACUUAUGAAUUGGGGGACCCAAUAGCAGUUUCACUUAUUUGAGGGACUAAUUUCAAAAUAAACUAAGAAUUGAGGGACCUAAUACCAUGUCAAUGAUUUGAGGGACUAAUUCAAAAUAUGAAUGAUUAAAGGGACUAAUAUCUAUUAACCCUUAGUAAAACAUUGUGAAUAAUUGGAACAAACUUUAUGCCUAUUCAGUAAGUAUAUUGUUAGUUAUUUGAAGCUUUUCAUACUUUUAUUUUUCCAGUAGUACUCAGGUAACCGUGUUCUAAAAGAAACACUGAUACUAUUUUGAUGUCCUGAAUUGGUUCGCUGAACAAUGUGUACUUUUUUUUGUUUUUGAUAGAGAACAAUGCGUACUUGAUGCUUACGUGUUUGACACACGUAAAAAGUAUCGCCCUUCAGCCAACUUGGACAAGGGUGGAUUGGGGGCAAGGGAUAUUUAAUUUUCAUGUUUAUAGUAGUGGAGAUUUCGACAUCAACUGAAACUGCAUAUUUGCUUCAAGAGACCUGAGAUCAGGUUAUGUCUUGUCCAAAUAUUUACUUAUAAGUAUUUUUACCAGUGUUCUAAAAAGCUCCUUGGUGGCCCUCCAGCCGCUUAGAAUUGGCCGGAGCGGCCAAUCUAGGCUGUGGAACCGCCUACGCGCCGCCUAGGGCUAGGCAUUCGCUCCGCCUAGCUAUUUGGGAGAAAAACUGUUUUGGGCCCAAUCUGGCCCAAAUAGGACAGUAGCUCAAAAAAAAAAAAAAACCAAAAUAAUACUUAAAACCUUAACCUGAGCCGCAUACUUUACCCAAACCACUCCUCCUUUCUCUCUCCGUCGAUCUCUCUCUCUCUCUCUCUGGUCUCACCAUUCUUUUAUACUCUAUUGCACGGUUCUCCUCUCCCUCUUCUCCAGCGCUCCUCACCUCCAUUAAAGCUCCUAUCCUCCACCGGUUCUCCUAUCCCUCCCCGAGAUCCUCAAAGCCCUAACAAUCACCUCCUCUCUCCUCUCCCUCGCCGCCACCUCCGGCAAGUCCCUCACCUCUCUUCCUCUAGAGUCCAAGCCCUCCAUCUAUUGAAGGUUUUUUCUCAUUCUUUGUUAAUUUUCCACUGUUUUUUAUUUUAUUCACUUUUUUGUAAUUUUAUUUAUUUUUUGUUAUUUCUUAGUAUAAUUAGUUAAAUUUUUUAAUUUUCAUAAUUAUUUAAUUUAAAAAUUACAUAAAUGCCUAGCGCCACCGCCUAUGCGCUAGGCCCUGGCUCAAACGCCUAGUCCGCCUAGGUCUUUCUUUUUAACAUUGAUAUUUACAAAUAGUAAGUGUAUACUGUAUUCAUACCCUAGGUUUUAAGAUUUCACGUAUCUCCAUAGUCAUACAUCCAUGCCUUGCCUUAUCCGAAUCACAUUUACAUGUUUGUGCAAUAUAUUCCACAUGAAAGCUUUUUGUAUAAAAGAUUUAGCCUUCACUUACAUUUUAAGCUUCAAAAGUUUGCGAAGACAUCGUUGGAUGCUUUGAGAUGCAGAUCCUAGAGGUGCGCGUUACUCAACUAUAAUUUUCCAGUAUUUUCUUCAUUGCGACAUCAAAUUUCUCAAUGCAAUGUCCAUAUAUUCCAUUGGUACAAGUCAAAUAAUAGGAAUAAGAUUAGGUUGAAUUUGAUAUAGAAAUGAUUAUCAGGUAUACCUUGCGGUUCUGCAGAUUCUACCUUCUAUUGUCAUUGGGAUUUAUUUGGACUUCAUGUGCUUGACCAAAAGGUUUGACACAAUGCAAAUUCUUUAUCAAUGGUUGUAUUAUUCUUAUGUAUUUCCCUUGUGUGCCUUCUUGAAGAAACUGUACCUCAAGCAAUAAACUAUCUCGAACAUGAUAUAUCUGAUCACAUGCCUUAUGUAAAAGAAACUACAAUUUGGACAUGGCUAAACAUUUGGAGAUGUUUAAAUAUUUAAGCACUGUAUAGCUUGGAGAUUCAUGUUAAAGAAACUCUUAAAAUUAAGCAGUCCUCUAAAAUUAGGGAGUAAACCAUAACUAGUUUCUAUAGCAUGAAUCGGCAAGCGAUCCAGUGGUUUAAAAAAACUGAUAUUAGAAACAUUUUGCUAUUAUCAAUUAUAGCUUAGCUUCACUUUAUAGACACACAAACAACAAAGUCACAAGGAUGCCCAUGUUUGAUCCUGCACAUCGUCCAUACGAUAUCCUCAAGUAUAUGUAUUGUUAUCCAGUAAUUCCACCCAAACCAUUCCUUAUGGGAUCCAUAACAAGAAGACGGAGAAGGAGAUCAACUUAUGGAACUAUAUUGUUGACUUGUAAUAUCUACUAGCUAGUAAGCAAGACGACGAAACUCGAAAUGAACAUCGGUUUGAGUUUAUCCCAGAGAAAUUUGAGGAAGUUAGUGUGGUACAAGUCGUUCAACAGCACAUAAGAACCAGAAAAAAAAUCCAUGUAUAUUUGUUGGCAUUUCAUGUGCGAGUAUACUCGUACAUUGGAAAAGUAAGAAAGAGUGGUAUGUGAGUUUGAAAAGAGUGGUAUAGGAGUUUGGAUCAAUACUUUUUUAGGUUAAUUUGGUUCCUAGCUCUAUUUAAGGUCUAUUUAGCUCCCUUUCAUGCCAGAUUUCUACCCAAUAAGCGGUGUUAUAGCCAAGAUUCUGGCCCAAGGGCAAGUGAAAUCCAAUGUGAAUCUCGAAGGUGUCAGGAGAAUGACCAAGGUCAGAUUAGUCCAUCAAUCCUAGGUGGUUUUAGAUUCUAGGAUAGUCGGCAUGCCAUGAUGCACACAUUAUUGCUAGUGUAGAGUUUAGACUAAGGUUUGGUUAGCCCAUAAAUGGUGAAAAAACCUAUGGAUGUUAGUAGUCAUGUCGUUGUCACAUGAUUGCUGGUUUAGCCCCAAAGUCAUGUUAACUACUGGAUGGAUGGUGUCAAAAAUUGCCUUAGGGAGUAUAAUGGUUUUGUUAGCCCACAAUUGCCGGUUCAGACAAAAUCAGGGAAGUGCCCAUGAUUCUUGUGAAUGAUUGAGAUAUAUCGCAAAUGAAGGAGGAGAUUGUUGGGGUUUCAUGUGUAGAGUAUAAUCUUACGUUGGAAAGGUUAAGAAAGAAUGUGUACUUAAAUAGGAGUGACGGCAACACCUAAUAACUAAAGAUAUUACGUUGAUUUGGUUCCUACCAUCUAUUUAAUGUCCAUUAUCUCUCUGUCAUGCCUAGUUUCUAUCCAACAAAAACUAUAUGCUAAGAGUUCUCUAACUCAAAAGCAAUACAAACUUACAACUUUUCUAGAGGAGAUCUUUGCUUUUGUUGCUAUAUUUUUUCUGCAAUCCAAGCCCCUUAUAUAGUCUCUUUUGUACCAGGAGUUGCAACUUCUCAUUUAUGUCGUUUAAAGUAUAGGUUAUUAAAUUAAAACCCCAUACAAGUCACAUGUUACGAUACAAUUAUUUCACAGGCUUAUUGCUAAGGAGAUCACAAUUCUAACAUUUAAGUUUCUAUUUGAACAUUUAUAAAUAUUCAACAUGCGUCUGCGGGCUUGAAGGGAGGUCAUUUCAAGCAUGUCCCUGCCCUAAGUCGGUGAAAUGCAGGAAGAGGUGAAAAUAUCCGUAAUUUUCUCUACUGUCCUAAAUAUCCGUAAGACCGUAAUCUAGUAUCUAUUUGUUUGCUUCUUUCAUGUUGCAUCGGAUUCUUGAAGAGAUUUUUGACCAAUUUGUUAUCCACGUGUAAUAAUCGUAAGUUCUUGUUGACGGCCCAAUGUUCCCGAUACAUUUUUUAGCCAUAUUGCUUCACACACAGUAGAUGUUGCUAUAUAAUCAGUUUGAUGCUGAAAACUUGUCCUAUUUUCUUGGCAUGGAAGUGCACCAAUAGCUUGGUAGGAUUUCAAUUUUACAAAAGAAGUAUGCAAAAGUGAUUUCAAGGAAUACAGCUAAAGAGUUGCAAUUUUGUCAAUGCUGUUGCGAUGGGAUUGGGGCAAUAUCUAGAAGGAGUCGAACUCUAUACAAGAGUGAGAAGCAUGAGGUACCUAAACAUAACGAAGCCCAACAAUGACUGCGUUGUUGGACUUGUGAGUAGGUACAUAAAGAUGCCAAAUGAGUCACAUUGGCUCGUGACUAAGAGAAUUCUCAAAUAUAUGAAAGGGUACCAUAUAUCUUGGUCUUUCAUGUGCUUAUGGUAAUAAUGUUAAGCUAUUUGUAUGCUCUUGUCGAGGCAAUCAAGUUGAGAAAAGAGCACUAUGUGAGCCAUUAUAUUUGUUCAAAGAUAUUUUAUUGGAGCUUGAAGAAAGAAGUUGUGACACUGUCCAUAUGCGUGGCUGAGCACAUUACAACAAUAUGGUUGAGGAAUUUCCUGGAGAAUUGGAUCAUCAUCAAUGGUUAUAAAUAUUAAAUCGGCUAUUCAACCAUUUAAGAAUCUGAUGCUAUAUAUGGAAGAAGCAAAUACAUAGUUGCCAUAUUUCAUUUUCUUAGAUAUCAAGUCAAGAAGACAUUUGUACUAUUUUGUAGGACAACAAAGCAAGUUGCAGAUAUUUUCAUCAAGUCUCUUACUGCUAAUGCGUUACAUUGACUCAGAGGCACGCUUCGUUGACUGCACUUCAAGUAUGAUGGGGUGUGUUGGAUAUUUGAAAAUAUUUAAUGCAGAAUCCUAUGUGAAUUGUAAACUUCAUAGCAACAAAUCUAUGGACAAUUGUAUAUUUGUAUUGUAACUUAUGAUUUUAAGAAGUUUUAAUUUUGUAAUGUAUGCAUUUAGUGAUCUGAAUCAGAAAUUAUAAUUCA